ensembl:misc_RNA Metazoa_SRP Metazoan signal recognition particle RNA
GUUGGAUGUGGUGGUGCACAUCUGUAGUCCUAGCUACUUGGGAGGCUGAGGAAGGAGGAUCACCUGAGCCCAGGAGUUUGAGGCUGCAGUGAGCUGUGAUCAUGCCACUGCACUCCAACCUGGGUGACAAAGUGAGACUCUGACUCUU